rnacentral:rRNA from 1 species
AUUGAACGCUGGCGGCAGGCCUAACACAUGCAAGUCGAGCGGAUGAAGGGAGCUUGCUCCUGGAUUCAGCGGCGGACGGGUGAGUAAUGCCUAGGAAUCUGCCUGGUAGUGGGGGAUAACGUCCGGAAACGGGCGCUAAUACCGCAUACGUCCUGAGGGAGAAAGUGGGGGAUCUUCGGACCUCACGCUAUCAGAUGAGCCUAGGUCGGAUUAGCUAGUUGGUGGGGUAAAGGCCUACCAAGGCGACGAUCCGUAACUGGUCUGAGAGGAUGAUCAGUCACACUGGAACUGAGACACGGUCCAGACUCCUACGGGAGGCAGCAGUGGGGAAUAUUGGACAAUGGGCGAAAGCCUGAUCCAGCCGUGCCGCGUGUGUGAAGAAGGUCUUCGGAUUGUAAAGCACUUUAAGUAGGGAGGAAGGGCAGUAAGUUAAUACCUUGCUGUUUUGACGUUACCAACAGAAUAAGCACCGGCUAACUUCGUG